GAUGAACGCUGGCGGCGUGCCUAAUACAUGCAAGUCGAGCGAACAGACGAGGAGCUUGCUCCUCUGACGUUAGCCGCGGACGGGUGAGUAACACGUGUAUAACCUACCUAUCAGACUGGGAUAACUUCGGGAAACCGGAGCUAAUACCGGAUAAUCUCUUGAACCGCAUGGUUCAAUAGUGAAAGACGGUUUUGCUGUCACUUCUAGCUGCAUCCCGGCCGGAUUGGCUAGUUGUUAAGGUAACGGGCUACCAAGGCAACUAGGCGUAGCCGAGCUGAGAGACGGGUAGGCCACAUUGGAACUUGGACACGGUCCAGACUACUACGGGAGGCAGCAGUAGGGAAUCUGCCGCAAUGGGCGAAAGCCUGACGGAGCAACGCCGCGUGAGUGAUGAAGGUCUUCGGAUCGUAAAACUCUGUUAUUAGGGAAGAACAAAUGUGUAAGUAACUAUGCACGUCUUGACGGUACCUAAUCAGAAAGCCACGGCUAACUACGUG
rnacentral:rRNA from 1 species